rnacentral:rRNA from 1 species
UCGAACGAUGAUCCCAGCUUGCUGGGGGAUUAGUGGCGAACGGGUGAGUAACACGUGAGUAACCUGCCCUUGACUCUGGGAUAAGCCUGGGAAACUGGGUCUAAUACCGGAUACGACCAUCUGGCGCAUGUCAUGGUGGUGGAAAGCUUUUGUGGUUUUGGAUGGACUCGCGGCCUAUCAGCUUGUUGGUGGGGUAAUGGCCUACCAAGGCGACGACGGGUAGCCGGCCUGAGAGGGUGACCGGCCACACUGGGACUGAGACACGGCCCAGACUCCUACGGGAGGCAGCAGUGGGGAAUAUUGCACAAUGGGCGCAAGCCUGAUGCAGCGACGCCGCGUGAGGGAUGACGGCCUUCGGGUUGUAAACCUCUUUCAGUAGGGAAGAAGCGAAAGUGACGGUACCUGCAGAAGAAGCGCCGGCUAACUACGUGCCAGCAGCCGCGGUAAUACGUAGGGCGCAAGCGUUAUCCGGAAUUAUUGGGCGUAAAGAGCUCGUAGGCGGUUUGUCGCGUCUGCUGUGAAAGACCGGGGCUCAACUCCGGUUCUGCAGUGGGUACGGGCAGACUAGAGUGCAGUAGGGGAGACUGGAAUUCCUGGUGUAGCGGUGAAAUGCGCAGAUAUCAGGAGGAACACCGAUGGCGAAGGCAGGUCUCUGGGCUGUAACUGACGCUGAGGAGCGAAAGCAUGGGGAGCGAACAGGAUUAGAUACCCUGGUAGUCCAUGCCGUAAACGUUGGGCACUAGGUGUGGGGGACAUUCCACGUUUUCCGCGCCGUAGCUAACGCAUUAAGUGCCCCGCCUGGGGAGUACGGCSGCAAGGCUAAACUCAAGGAUUGACGGGGGCCCGCACAAGCGCGAGCAUGC